rnacentral:rRNA from 1 species
GACGAACGCUGGCGGCGUGCUUAACACAUGCAAGUCGAACGGAAAGGCCCUGCUUUUGUGGGGUGCUCGAGUGGCGAACGGGUGAGUAACACGUGAGUAACCUGCCCUUGACUUUGGGAUAACUUCAGGAAACUGGGGCUAAUACCGGAUAGGAGCUCCUGCUGCAUGGUGGGGGUUGGAAAGUUUCGGCGGUUGGGGAUGGACUCGCGGCUUAUCAGCUUGUUGGUGGGGUAGUGGCUUACCAAGGCUUUGACGGGUAGCCGGCCUGAGAGGGUGACCGGCGACAUUGGGACUGAGAUACGGCCCAGACUCGUACGGGAGGCAGCAGUGGGGAAUAUUGCACAAUCGGCGGAAGCCUGAUGCAGCAACGCCGCGUGCGGGAUGACGGCCUUCGGGUUGUAAACCGCUUUCGCCUGUGACGAAGCGUGAGUGACGGUAAUGGGUAAAGAAGCACCGGCUAACUACGUG